AUUGAACGCUGGCGGCAGGCCUAACACAUGCAAGUCGAACGAGCGGCGGACGGGUGAGUAAUGUCUGGGAAACUGCCUGAUGGAGGGGGAUAACUACGGGAAACGGUAGCUAAUACCGCAUACCAGCGGAUGUGCCCAGAUGGGAUUAGCUAGGAGGUGGGGUAACGGUUCACCUAGGCGCCGAUCCCUAGCUGGUCUGAGAGGAUGACCGGCCACACUGGAACUUAGACACGGUCCAGACUACUACGGGAGGCAGCAGUGGGGAAUAGUGCACAAUGGGCGCAAGCCUGAUGCAGCCAUGCCGCGUGUAUGAAGAAGGCUUUCGGGUUGUAAAGUACUUUCAGCGUGGAGGCGUUACCCGCAGAAGAAGCACCGGCUAACUCCGUGCCAGCAGCCGCGGUAAUAC
rnacentral:rRNA from 1 species